GACAGAGGGUGCAAACGUUGUUCGGAAUUACUGGGCGUAAAGCGCGUGUAGGCGGUCCGGUAAGUCCGCUGUGAAAGUCGAGGGCUCAACCCUCGAAUGCCGGUGGAUACUGUCGGGCUUGAGUACGGGAGAGGCGAGUGGAAUUCCUGGUGUAGCGGUGAAAUGCGCAGAUAUCAGGAGGAACACCGAUUGCGAAGGCAGCUCGCUGGAACGGUACUAACGCUGAGGCGCGAAAGCGUGGGGAGCAAACAGG
rnacentral:rRNA from 1 species